rnacentral:lncRNA from 1 species
AUGAUAUUCAGGGAAAGCAAAAAAAGAUUUUUUUCCUUUUUCUCAAGACUAGAGCAUGAAUUUGGAGGGGCUCCCACAAGGUUCACAAAUGUCCUACAGUUCUUCCAUUGUAUAAGGAGAAGUAAUGGAAUGGAUGCACAGAGGAGCAGGAACAAUGACUACCCAUGGAACUCCCAGCAAGCAUCUACUGAGUAUUAAAUAUUUUCAUCCUGUUUUGAUAGCUGCUUUUUUCAAGAACAUCAAAAAUAACUUUAAUUCCUGCAUCUGCCUAGCUCAUCUGGAUUUCCCUUGACAGAUGGUUCAUUGCAAAGUAUGUGUUUUCCUUUUUAGGCUGAUGUUUAUGAAAAUACAUAAUCUAUCCUAGUUUCUAUAAUACCCAGGGAAAUUUGUAAAACUUAAAAGUAAAUUUUGCUACUUCAUGGUUAAAAGGCACUGUGGGGCCUGGCUUGUACCCUUUAAUAGCAGCACUGGAAAUCCAAGAGCAUCUGAUGUGAAGUGUGUGAGUAACUUUCAAAUAGGAAAUGUUAAGGUUUGGGUGUCAGAACAGAUGGGAGAUUUUUCUGGCUGUUUAUAAUGUGUUUCUGAGUGCUAAUCUAGCCCAAGUGCCUUUCCACCCAAAGGAGAAAUCAUCACCUUCAUAACUGGUGAGUGCCUAGCAUGGCAGGCUUGUGGAGUUAAACUAACAGUGUGUCUAGAUUCAGCCCAAACAUUGCCCACAAAGAGUAGCCUGACGGAGCCUGUGGGCAAAAAUAGAAAGCUUAAGAGGUAAAAACAAGCUGUCUGUGCACACAAAUGUGAAAAAACCUCAGAGGAUUUUCAUCUUAGAUCAGCUGUGAGUGGUCUGUCUGUGUGCAUGUGUCUAGUUAAUAACACUAAUGUGACAGAAGAUAUGAAGAAUAUUUCAAAUGUUUUACAGAGGUAUCUGAGUGGUUUUAGACACCAAAUUGCAAUUGAGAUAAGAGUCUAAAGUCAACAUUUCCUACAGUAGCCUCUGGCUAUGGUAGCACAGGAUGAGGUUGCUUGCAUCUAGCCUUAUUAAGUGGAAUUUUUGCAUUCCUUCUUGACCUCAGGAAGAAUGCUGAGGACUGGCUUCUAUAGGAGAUCCUUUUUUUUUAGGAAAUGAACAGUCUGUUCCAGAGUGGACAUAAAAAGAUGAAACUGCUCUAGAAUCAGCAGCUAGUCUGGAAUAUUGGGAUAUAUUCCAAGUGCUGCAUGUGGAAUUGUCCAAAAAUCUCAUUCAGAUGGUGAAAACAUGAAUUUCUAGAAAAAGGACAAUCCAUACCUCUUUCAAUACAAGAAGGCCCCUGGCAUUCAUGUGCGUCGCACAAUUGUUCAACUUCAGCAGGGAGGGGAGACUGUUUCUAAGCAGAGUUCUGUAUAGGCUGGUGUUCAGAACAUGGGCCUAUGAUGCAUGUCCACACUGCCAUAAGUGGAGGUUGUUCUAGGGUCAAGGUUCCCUUCUGGUGAAUGUCCUAGCCAGGAGAAUACAUGCUUUCUCAGAAAACCAGGAAUAAAUUUUCAUCCCCAAAUGCUGGUUGUUAGGCU